CAUAUGGUACUUAUCAGCGGUUCUUUUGAAACAAGAUAAGCAGCGAUAUGGCUUCUUACGAGGU
rfam:Haemophilus sputorum HK 2154 ctg120006325159, whole genome shotgun sequence.